CCUACGGGAGGCAGCAGUGAGGAAUAUUGGUCAAUGGGCGCGAGCCUGAACCAGCCAAGUAGCGUGAAGGAUGACUGCCCUACGGGUUGUAAACUGCUUUUAUAAAGGAAUAAAGUGAGUCACGUGUGCCUUUUUGUAUGUACUUUAUGAAUAAGGAUCGGCUAAAUCCGUGCCAGCAGCCGCGGUAAUACGGAGGAUCCGAGCGUUAUCCGGAUUUAUUGGGUUUAAAGGGAGCGUAGAUGGGUUGUUAAGUCAGUUGUGAAAGUUUGAGGCUAAACCGGAACAUUGCAAUUGAUACUGGCAGUGUUGAGCACAGUUGAGGUAGGCGGAAUUCGUGGUGUAGCGGUGAAAUGCUUAG
rnacentral:rRNA from 1 species